AGAUUAAGUUAUUAAGGGCGCACGGUGGAUGCCUUGGCACUAGAAGCCGAAGAAGGACGUUACUAACGACGAUAUGCUUUGGGUAGCUGUAAGUAAGCGUUGAUCCAGAGAUUUCCGAAUGGGGGAACCCAACAUGAGUUAUGUCAUGUUAUCGACAUGUGAAUUCAUAGCAUGUCAGAAGGCAGACCCGGAGAACUGAAACAUCUUAGUACCCGGAGGAAGAGAAAGAAAAAUCGAUUCCCUGAGUAGCGGCGAGCGAAACGGGAAGAGCCCAAACCAACAAGCUUGCUUGUUGGGGUUGUAGGACACUCUAUACGGAGUUACAAAAGAACAUGUUAGACGAAUCAUCUGGAAAGAUGAAUCAAAGAAGGUAAUAAUCCUGUAGUCGAAAACAUAUUCUCUCUUGAGUGGAUCCUGAGUACGACGGAGCACGUGAAAUUCCGUCGGAAUCUAGGAGGACCAUCUCCUAAGGCUAAAUACUCUCUAGUGACCGAUAGUGAACCAGUACCGUGAGGGAAAGGUGAAAAGUACCCCGGAAGGGGAGUGAAAGAGAACUUGAAACCGUGUGCUUACAAGUAGUCAGAGCCCGUUUAUGGGUGAUGGCGUGCCUUUUGUAGAAUGAACCGGCGAGUUACGAUCUGAUGCAAGGUUAAGCAGCGAAUGUGGAGCCGUAGCGAAAGCGAGUCUGAAUAGGGCGUUGAGUAUUUGGUCGUAGACCCGAAACCAGGUGAUCUACCCUUGGUCAGGUUGAAGUUCAGGUAACACUGAAUGGAGGACCGAACCGACUUACGUUGAAAAGUGAGCGGAUGAACUGAGGGUAGCGGAGAAAUUCCAAUCGAACUUGGAGAUAGCUGGUUCUCUCCGAAAUAGCUUUAGGGCUAGCCUCAAGUGAUGAUUAUUGGAGGUAGAGCACUGUUUGGACGAGGGGCCCCUCUCGGGUUACCGAAUUCAGACAAACUCCGAAUGCCAAUCAAUUUAACUUGGGAGUCAGAACAUGGGUGAUAAGGUCCGUGUUCGAAAGGGAAACAGCCCAGACCACCAGCUAAGGUCCCAAAAUAUAUGUUAAGUGGAAAAGGAUGUGGCGUUGCCCAGACAACUAGGAUGUUGGCUUAGAAGCAGCCAUCAUUUAAAGAGUGCGUAAUAGCUCACUAGUCGAGUGACACUGCGCCGAAAAUGUACCGGGGCUAAACAUAUUACCGAAGCUGUGGAUUGUCCUUCGGACAAUGGUAGGAGAGCGUUCUAAGGGCGUUGAAGCAUGAUCGCAAGGACAUGUGGAGCGCUUAGAAGUGAGAAUGCCGGUGUGAGUAGCGAAAGACGGGUGAGAAUCCCGUCCACCGAUUGACUAAGGUUUCCAGAGGAAGGCUCGUCCGCUCUGGGUUAGUCGGGUCCUAAGCUGAGGCCGACAGGCGUAGGCGAUGGAUAACAGGUUGAUAUUCCUGUACCACCUAGUAUCGUUUUAAUCGAUGGGGGGACGCAGUAGGAUAGGCGAAGCGUGCUGUUGGAGUGCACGUCCAAGCAGUAAGGCUGAGUGUUAGGCAAAUCCGGCACUCGUUAGGCUGAGCUGUGAUGGGGAGAGGAAAUUGUUUCCUUGAGUCGUUGAUUUCACACUGCCGAGAAAAGCCUCUAGAUAGAUAACAGGUGCCCGUACCGCAAACCGACACAGGUAGUCAAGAUGAGAAUUCUAAGGUGAGCGAGCGAACUCUCGUUAAGGAACUCGGCAAAAUGACCCCGUAACUUCGGGAGAAGGGGUGCUCUUUAGGGUUCACGCCCAGAAGAGCCGCAGUGAAUAGGCCCAAGCGACUGUUUAUCAAAAACACAGGUCUCUGCUAAACCGUAAGGUGAUGUAUAGGGGCUGACGCCUGCCCGGUGCUGGAAGGUUAAGAGGAGUGGUUAGCUUCUGCGAAGCCACGAAUCGAAGCCCCAGUAAAC
rnacentral:rRNA from 1 species